rnacentral:rRNA from 1 species
AGUGAACGCUGGCGGUAGGCCUAACACAUGCAAGUCGAACGGCAGCACAGUAAGAGCUUGCUCUUACGGGUGGCGAGUGGCGGACGGGUGAGGAAUACAUCGGAAUCUACUUUUUCGUGGGGGGUAACGUAGGGAAACUUACGCUAAUACCGCAUACGACCUACGGGUGAAAGCAGGGGAUCUUCGGACCUUGCGCGAUUGAAUGAGCCGAUGUCGGAUUAGCUAGUUGGCGGGGUAAAGGCCCACCAAGGCGACGAUCCGUAGCUGGUCUGAGAGGAUGAUCAGCCACACUGGAACUGGGACACGGUCCAGACUCCUACGGGAGGCAGCAGUGGGGAAUAUUGGACAAUGGGCGCAAGCCUGAUCCAGCCAUACCGCGUGGGUGAAGAAGGCCUUCGGGUUGUAAAGCCCUUUUGUUGGGAAAGAAAAGCAGCAGGUUAAUACCCCGCUGUUCUGACGGUACCCAAAGAAUAAGCACCGGCUAACUUCGUG